AUUGAACGCUGGCGGCAGGCCUAACACAUGCAAGUCGAACGAGUGGCGGACGGGUGAGUAAUGUCUGGGAAACUGCCUGAUGGAGGGGGAUAACUACUGGAAACGGUAGCUAAUACCGCAUACCAUCAGAUGUGCCCAAAUUGGAUUAGCUUGUUGGUGGGGUAACGGCUCACCAAGGCGACGAUCCCUAGCUGGUCUGAGAGGAGGACCAGCAGACCUGGAACUGAGACACGGACCAUAGGCGUACGUGGGGCGGCAGGGGGGAAUAUUGCACAAUGGGCGCAAGCCUGAGGCAGACAUGCCGCGUGUAUGAAGAAGGCUGUCGGGGUGAAAAGUACUUUCAGCGGGGAGUCGUUACCCGCAGAAGAAGCACAGGCUAAUUCCGUGCCAGAGACCGCGGUAAUUC
rnacentral:rRNA from 1 species